rnacentral:lncRNA from 1 species
UAGACUAAAACUCAAAGGGUCAAAAGAAAAUUGAAAAGAGUUGCGGGAGAUAAACUAAAAAAUAUUUCAUUCACUUUCAAAUAACACUUUUUCAUUUUCUCUUCUCUUUUCUCCUUUUCUUUUUAUUUACUUUUUUUUCUUCCUUUCAUUGGGAAUACAAUAAGGACAAGAGUUUUCUUCCUUCUUUCUUUUAUUUUUAUUUUUGUAAUUUUUUUCUUUUCUUUUCCAUUCUCUAUUUUUUUCCUUCUUUUUAUCAAUGCUAAUUCAACCCCACACAACUCCAACAAACUCUUAUAAACCUUUAAAUAAGGUGAUAAAUUUCUUUUUCCACUUUAUGGCUUGUAAUGAGUUUAAACAAAUAAUGGGAUAAAUAAGCUCAAGGGAUUUUCAAACAAGGGAUGACAUUAUUCAG